UGCAAGCGCGAAGCCUCUUACCUUUGCGAGCUUCACCAUGAUGGCGGCUAAUAACGGCGGAGCGUGUGGCAGGCGAGUGGCGCAGAUGAGCCCGAAGGAACCCAACGACGUCGAUGGCGGCCGCUGGUACUGAAGACUCGGAGCGCGUACGCUUGGCUGCCAGCUAGAGCUCGAGACUGAGGCGAAAGACUGAGCCUGCCCAGUAAUCGCCUCUGGAAAGGCGACGACGGCACCCUCGUGACUCCUUUUCGACCAACCAGAGUUCGCGCUCAUCCCAUGAGCCAACCGUCGGCUUUCGGGACUCAGCCACCUCUUCAUGGAGUCCUCCUGUUAUCCCCAGACUGGACUGGGUACUCCUCUAUGCCCCGAGGUCACCAGCUGUCACAAUGCUUGUGGAUGCAGAAAAAGCAUUUCACAAAAUCCAGUACCCUUUCAUGAUAAAAACACUCAACAAAGAAAUAGAAGAGUGCUUCUUCAACAUGAUAAAAAGGUGUCUACAAAAAAUCCACAACUAAUAACAAACUCAAUGGUGAAAGAAAGACUGGAACUUUUCCCCUAAGAUUGUAAGUAAGACCAACAUGUCUGCUAUCACCACUUCUUUUCAACAUCGUACUGGAGGUUUUAUCCAGGGUAACUGGCAAGGUGCGGGGAAGGCAUCCAGUUUGAAAAGGAAGAAGUAAAACUAU